rnacentral:lncRNA from 1 species
GGAAGACUCCGCCCGCCCUGGCAAUAACCCUUACAUGCCCUCACGGGAACGGGAGGAAAACCUCACCCUGACGGUAACGAAACCCGGCCGCCCAACAAGAUCGGAUGAAGGGAAAAAGCUCCCUAGCGACACCUCCGCGCUCCAAUGCAACCCCGCAAAAAGCGAAGGAAGGGUCCUCACUCGAAAAAGAGGAGAAAAAUUAAAAAGGAAGGGCGACGAACCGCGGUGGAAACAGAUGAAGGACGAACCACCCCAAAGACCUAAAAGACUUCGUCCCAACGGAGACGGGGAGUUCCUACCAAACACCCCCGACUUCUAAAAAGACUCCCGACAC